GCUCCGCGGCAGGUGGACCGGUGGGCUGAUGAGUCGCGCGUACUGGCCCUCGUUCCGCCCAUCACUCUGCAGCCGCAGGAAGUUCCUGUCAUCUGGAGGGGGAAACAGACCCAAACAGAGGUCCCUGCCAGCCAAGGUUGGACUGCUGCCCGCUCUUCGAGAUUGCUCUGAAAAGCCCUCUCAAACCGCAGGCUGUGAUGAAUCAAGCGGAAUGAGGGCAAGGAUGAGGAUCCCCAGCCAGUAGCUGGGGUUGACUGGUGGGGCAUCAGGAGCAUUGAAAGCUAACUCGUGAUGUGCUGGAGCAACAUCUACUCCGUACUGGCUUGAGAGAGCCGAUUGUGGAAUUUUCUGGAAUUUUAUCAGCCAGUUGUUGAAACACAAGCAUUACCAAUGGAACAAUAUAAAGUUA